GUCUGAAGCAAUUGGGUAGCAGUCAUAAUAUUAGGCUGCUACAGAGGGGGUGGACUUUGAUGUCAGUAUGCUACAAAGGAUGUUGAAGAAAUUGGUGAUUUUCUUUAUUUAAUUAAAGAAACAGAUUAUAUGAAUGCAUGGUGAUUUGAAAAAAUGUGGUUUAUUUAUUUCAAGUGUUCUAAAUUACUCAUUAAUCCGAUAUAAAUUAAGGCUGCAAAGGGGGUCAUGCAAUGAC